rnacentral:tRNA from 1 species
GGGGGUAUGGGUUAACACGGCAUACUCGCGGGCUCCAGACCCGCUGAUCUGGGUUCAAAUCCCAGUGCCCCCA